CUGGGAGGGGGACUCAGUCCCCUUGAUAGGGGCGGGCAGGGAGCAGGCUCCGCCCCCUGCUGUGGGCGGGGCUAAGCUGUCUAGGCCGUUGGGACGGUUACGCUCCUCUCAGUCCAUCCCUCCCCCGGGCGGCGGAGGCUGGUGUGGGGGAGGGGGCCGCUAGUACAUGGGACCCCCCCGACCUCCAGGCUUUGUACCAAAGGGCCGUGUCAGGGCAGGGGCGUGGCGAAAACAACCCCUCAAACCCCUCUGAAGGCCCAGCCCCAGGCUACUGGUUUUGUGCCUUGCUUUCCUCAGAGCCUCAGCACGUGCGUCACUGCGCGCUGUGGACGCCACUAGGGCAGAUAAUACUCUGGCGCCCAUCCAUCGGUGCAUCGCCAGUAAAGACAAGGAGGCUUCAAGGAACUCACUCUCAGAAAACAAGCAGCAGCAGAAAAUGCAGGGAACAGGGCAGAUGGCGAUGGUGACACAGCAGUAGAGCACGAGGAUGCUGGUAUUCCCAUAGCAUCCUUAUAUAGUCCAAAAGCAGAAAUAGCUCAUCUAAAAAUGGCCAUCUCAGAGAGGGUUGUGAUCUAAAUAAAAGCAGAGGAGCUCUAGUCUUGGCAACAUGGAGGAGGAGUGCAAUUUUCCGAACAAAUUUCUUAAAUUUUCUGGCAUCAACAAUGCACAGCCUUCACAGCGGACUUUUCAUUGUCAAAGCGCCGUACAACAUUCACUGAUCCAUCCUGUAACAACCAUGUUGGAGAAAUACUUCAGGACAGGUCAUGACUAGAGAUGAGAGCAAAGCUCCCGGCCUCCCCAGUUGGGACAGGAUGAGGAUGGAGCACUGAAAGGCUACCUCUCUGCGGACAAAUUCUUCUUCUGACUAUGGGCUGGAACCCAUAACAUCUUACUCACCACAAUAAUUAGUUGAAAAUGCUGGGACUUCUUAUGUGAGAAGCAUAACUCAGUGAAGCACUUAAGGUUGUCGUAAGUAAUUGGCUCAUUCAGAAGAUCAAGAAGGAUUGUUUUCCUCCCCCUGUGUUUGGCUGUUGCCUUUCCUUUGUAGCAUGAGGCAUGGCUCACCUGCUGGGAUCAGCUGCAUAAAUGUCACCUGACCUAUUCCAUGCAGUGCAGGUCUUGGGUAUUGGUGGCACCUUAAUCUUUUCUUUUCUCUGAAACAUCCAGUGUAGCCCCUGCCACCAUCCAGUGUACUGACCCUGGUGUACUGACACCUCUGGAAUGUUAUAUGACAGGACUAAAAUCUACAGCCUUCCUCUCAUUUAUUUUUAAGGGAUGGCAACUGAUAAUCAAGAAAAAAUAAAAACCAGAGCUUCCUUUUGAAUUGCACUUUCCGUUACAAUGAAUCUCAAGUGUAUACAGCGGAAAAUACCACAGUGGAGUGAAAGGAAGAGCAGAAAUUCUGAGAUGCCUCUGAAUUUAUCUGUCUCUCUUGAGAACUGCCUGGUGCAAUCACUUAUGUCUGUAUAUUUUUAGAGGCUGUUUAGGAGCAGCCAGGAUUUAUUUGCAGUCUGUUCUGAAGAUUCACAGUUAUCUAAAUCUUGCCCAAGAAUAAAACUUCACGCGCAUAAAAAUCUGAACAGCUGGACCAGCAACUCUCAGCUAAUUCUUUUUUUAUUUGACACCCACGUUACAAAAUUUAGAAACCAGAGACAGUUCAGGCAAACUGUUAAAACACAGUAUAAAUUAAGGUUUUAAUAUACAAAUUCUAUACAAGGAUAAAUUAGCUUGAACAUGACUGACAAAUGGGUUUUGUAGCAAUCUCACCACAGCUGUAUAAAAAGGCAUGGGAAUGGGUUAGACACUAUAGUCAUGAAUGCAGGUUAAGACAUUUUCCACAAACAGUUAUAAAGCCGAUCAAUGACCAUGCUACUCUUGCAGUGUUUAUGCAGGGAGGGUUCAGUAUGCGUAUUACCAUUAACAAUUUGUAAGAUCUAUGUACAGUCACAAAAUCACAAUAGCCAUUUUCAAGUAACCUGACAGCUUCCUGCCUGUGCAGUUAAUAAAGUGUCAAUAUUAAUUUGAAAACUCCUAUUUAACAAAGCUUCAUUGUUCGAGUGUAAUGGAUACUACCGUGAUUUCUGCUUGACCUGAAAAUGCUAAUCAUAAUAUGAAGUAACUCGCUUUAAAAAAUAAUACAGGAAAAACAGCUACUCAUUAUGAUUGCUCACAUGAUCAAGAGACACUCAAGACUUCAAUGCCAUACUUCUUUCAAUGCCCAGUUUGUUUCUUUCUUUUAAAAAGUCUUUGUCACAACACAUUCCCAGUGUUUAUAAGUACAGUUGUACAAAAAGUCAAAUAGCAAAGGUGUAAAAACAGAAUCUGAUAAUACCACGCGUAACAUUUGUUAGACAUCUGGAAUGUACAGCCAUGAUUUUUGAGUACAGGGACAAGACAGCAGUUGCGGAGGCUGCCACAUUUAAUAAAACUAGCUAAAAGUGCAACAAAUCUUAA